UUCCCUUCGGGGACAUUGGUGACAGGUGGUGCAUGGUUGUCGUCAGCUCGUGUCGUGAGAUGUUGGGUUAAGUCCCGCAACGAGCGCAACCCUUGUCUUUAGUUGCCAUCAUUAAGUUGGGCACUCUAGAGAGACUGCCAGGGAUAACCUGGAGGAAGGUGGGGAUGACGUCAAAUCAUCAUGCCCCUUAUGCUUAGGGCUACACACGUGCUACAAUGGGUAGUACAGAGGGUUGCCAAGCCGUAAGGUGGAGCUAAUCCCUUAAAGCUACUCUCAGUUCGGAUUGUAGGCUGAAACUCGCCUACAUGAAGCUGGAGUUACUAGUAAUCGCAGAUCAGAAUGCUGCGGUGAAUGCGUUCCCGGGUCUUGUACACACCGCCCGUCACACCACGGGAGAUGGAGACGCCCGAAGCCGAUUAUCUAACCUUUUGGAAGAAGUCGUCGAAGGUGGUAUCAAUAACUGGGGAGAAGUCGUAACAAGGUCGCCGGAUCGGAAGGUGCGGCUGGAUCACCUCCUUUCUAAGGA
rnacentral:rRNA from 1 species